UACUGCGCUGCUUACACAUGCAAGUCGAACGGGUUCCUGCGGGCUUUGCUUGCGGGUGAGAGUGGCGAACGGGUGAGUAAUGCGUGACCAACCUGCCCCAUGCUCCGGAAUAGCUCCUGGAAACGGGUGGUAAUGCCGGAUGCUCCCGCGCCCCGCAUGGGGUGUGGGGAAAGCUUUCGUGGCAUGGGAUGGGGUCGCGUCCUAUCAGCUUGUUGGCGGGGUGAGGGCCCACCAAGGCGUUGACGGGUAGCCGGCCUGAGAGGGCGACCGGCCACAUUGGGACUGAGAUACGGCCCAGACUCCUACGGGAGGCAGCAGUGGGGAAUAUUGCACAAUGGGCGCAAGCCUGAUGCAGCGACGCCGCGUGCGGGAUGGAGGCCUUCGGGUUGUAAACCGCUUUUGUUUGGGAGCAAGCCCUUCGGGGUGAGUGUACCUUUCGAAUAAGCACCGGCUAACUACGUGCCAGCAGCCGCGGUAAUACGUAGGGUGCGAGCGUUAUCCGGAAUUAUUGGGCGUAAAGGGCUCGUAGGCGGUUCGUCGCGUCCGGUGUGAAAGUCCAUCGCUUAACGGUGGAUCCGCGUCGGGUACGGGCGGGCUGGAGUGCGGUAGGGGAGACUGGAAUUCCCGGUGUAACGGUGGAAUGUGUAGAUAUCGGGAAGAACACCAAUGGCGAAGGCAGGUCUCUGGGCCGUUACUGACGCUGAGGAGCGAAAGCGUGGGGAGCGAACAGGAUUAGAUACCCUGGUAGUCCACGCCGUAAACGGUGGAUGCUGGAUGUGGGGCCCUUCCACGGGUCCCGUGUCGGAGCCAACGCGUUAAGCAUCCCGCCUGGGGAGUAC
rnacentral:rRNA from 1 species